UACGAAGGGUGCAAACGUUGCCCGGAAUUAUUGGGCGUAAAGCGCACGUAGGCGGCUUUGCAAGUCGGAUGUGAAAUCCCUCGGCUUAACCAAGGAAGUGCAUCCGAAACUGCAGAGCUUGAGUACUUAAGAGGAUCGCGGAAUUCCCGGUGUAGAGGUGAAAUUCGUAGAUAUCGGGAGGAACACCAGUGGCGAAGGCGGCGAUCUGGGAAGAUACUGACGCUGAGGCGCGAAAGCGUGGGGAGCAAACAGG
rnacentral:rRNA from 1 species